AGUGUCCUCCUAGUGCUGUGUGUGAUGAUUAGGCAGUGUAUUGUUAGUUAGCUGCUCUUCAUACACCAGCAACUAACUACACUGCCACAUUAGCACAUCACUGUGUCACUAUUGAGACA
rnacentral:pre_miRNA from 7 species